rnacentral:lncRNA from 1 species
AUGGAAAAUACGGUUUUUCGAAUAUAGUUCUUGAUUAGCGCAAGGCACUAAAAUCAAAAAAAGGAUUGUUUAAUUCAUUCUUUUUUCUCUCGUGAAAAAACAGCUUAGGUAGUUUCACUCCUAAGCGGAACCCUCAUUAACGUACGUGAGAGAAUUUACUUAAUAAAAUUAAUGACAACUCCCUCAGACAAAUAAAAGUGAAAAAAAAACGCUAGCUGUAAGAGAAAGAAUGGACUGGAAGAGAACCAACGAGAUGCAUCAACCCGUAAAUGAAGCAACGGCAUGGAUCAAUCGAAGUUCACUGAUCACUGUCCGCAAAUAAAAAUGCACGGGCCGUUCCGAGCUUUAAAUAAACAUGACCUUUUAAUUUUUCACAGCGCUGUGUCAUUGCUGAGAUGGAGUUUUAGGUGUCAAAGUUGUUUACUGUUCUAAGUGCUCGUUGAAUCUGACUUCCGAAAAACCUCCCAGAAUUUCGAUCUCACUUGUUAUUAAUUUAAAUUAAAGCAGUUAUCAGAGCAAAGUUGGUGCGGGGUGGCUUUUCAUUUUUGAGCUAUCGUCGUACAUCAGAACUGUGUGGCGAAAUAUCAGUCGGUGAGGUGCAUACCGAGAAAAUUUGUAUCGCAGAAUCGUGAAUAAAAUUAUAAAUGUGGCACACUGGAACGUGAAGUUAUGAACUUGAACUUAGUUUAGACAAUGGAUCGUGUUUAAAAAACAGUGUCUCGAAAAAUGUCGUGCAUUGAAGCAAUGGAGUUCGGCUUAAUGGAGCCUGGAUUAUGAUAUAAUUAAGAAUUUUUGAAAUGAAUCGUUUUAAGAGUGAAAGAUUUGUUCACGGGAAAAUUGGUCGGUCAAACCGUUUGAAAAAAAACGAAUAGCUGUGAAAAUUCAUUUCAAAGAUGGAGGACAGUCCUUUCCUAUGCCUGGAGCACUUGGCUAUGCUCCGCUCAGCUGUGCUCAUGUGGGAGCAGCCUCAGAUCCAGGCGAAGAUCAACGAGUACUUCCGGACGGAGUACUCGUGCAAGCAGCCCAAACAGAAGAAGGAGAAGUGGAACGACCUCACCCGGGAGGUGGUCAAGCUCCUCUCGCUGGUGCCCCUCCCGCCCAGCAUCCACUGCGAGAUGGUCCACAUCGUCCGCUCUCUCGGCGAGCGACUCUUCUACUGGACCAAGUACGCCAAGAACAUGUCCAUAGCCAGCUCCGACUUCUCCAAGCCCGUCUUCUGGACGCCGAUGGGCACCAUCGACCAGGUGAGGAUCAUAAAAACCCUUUGCAGCCGCGGCGGGCCCUCGAACGUGUGCAGCCUCUACCAGCUGGCGUGCAACAACUGCCUGGAGGAAUACGUGGAGUACCUCUGGCAGCAGGUGCCGCGGGAGGUGCAAGAAGGCCCGUUCUACCUGGAGGGGAUCUACCAGCAAGCCGAGUUCCACCUGGUCGCCUACUGGAAGUUCUUCAUGGAGGGCAAGCUCUCCUUCCUCGUCAACCUGCUCAAGCACAUGAGCCUCGAGGCCUCGGACUUCUACAUCCUCAACCACCCCGUCCACGAGAACAUGUUCCGCCUCGCCGUCGUCGAGGGCUACCACGCCGCCACUAAGUACUUCUGGGCCAAGUUGGACGACGAGCAGAGGGAGCGCAACCUCUUGAAAUGCGCCAUCUUGUCGAUUGAAAAGAGCAACGAGGUGUUGUCUGGAAACCUGUUCUCGUACAAGAACCACGUACACGUGGACAUCCUAGUGUUCUUGCUUUGGCGGAUGUCGCGGGUGCAGCGGCUGGAACUGUACUCGCGGCACAAGAACACGGUGCUCAAGAUGCUCCUGUACACUUGGCCAUGGCAAGGGCUCUUCCUCUGCGCGCUCGAGGAGAUGUGGCCACUCUUCUCGGAGCAGGACUACCAGAGCCUCAUGCACUCGGUCAUGAGCCGCCUGACCCAGGACGCCGAGCAGGGCUACCCGCUCCCCCACAACAAGUUCCACCGCAUCUUCCAAGCCGUCUGGCGGGCCACCCCGCCGCACCUCAAGCAGAGCGUCGACCGCAACUGCUGGCAGGUACUCUCGGUGCUGUUCAAGGUGGAGGACAUCUCAAGUAUCUCGAUGAUCGUGAACGACCCGGACCUGCGCGAGCGGCGCCACGACCUGAUCGCCGAGGGGAAGAGCUACUUCACGAACCUGAUCAAAGAGGAGAAGUUCGAGCUGCUCGAGCAAUGCAUGGAGGAGCUCCACUUCUCCGAGGAGGAGCAGAACAGCCUCAAAUCCCAGAUCCACAUCAACAUCGACUACAUGCGCUUCAUCAAGCAGGAAGAGUACGAGAGGGUCGACAAGUACCUCGCGUGGGCCAUGAAGAAACAGGAGGAUCGCCUCAACCUCAACAAAAGCUCAGGUGCAGUCCGUUCUCCGUAGCCCACAUCUGCACUUUGUGGUCGGUGCCGUUGGGCGACCUGAGCGACGCGAAGCGUCGCUCAGCCAAAUUCCUCGACUGGCUCUUCGACGCCGAGGAGGACCAACUCGCCUUCAAGAUCAACCACCUCACCCUCUCCGAGCUCCACGCCAAAAUCAUCACCAAAUUCAUCCCUUUCAACCACUUCGAAAUCGUGGAGCCGUUCCUGGAGUGGUGCCUCCUCACGCACGAGGAGAUCCAGGACCUGAAAGCGCGCGUCGUGGCUGAGACCGCCGCCUCCACGUGCAAGCGCCUCGUCUCCGCCGACCUCCUCUUCGUCGUCGAGCACUUCCUGGCGUGGGCCUUCGCGGAGGCGGAUCGGCGGGAGUUCGCCCAGGCUGAUCGCCGCGAGUUCGCUCAGCAGUUUAUAUUGUCCGAGGACGGCGUCAUGGCCGCUUGUAACCUCGUGCGCAAGUGCAGAAGUAUCAACGCCGUCCGGGCGGCUCGACUUGAGAAGUUCGAGAUGUUGUUUAAUCUGUUCUUGCAUUCGUUGGAGACGAAGGAGGUGUUUAAAGUUAGGUACCGGAUGUAUGUCAACGAGUUUAUCAGUGGUAGAGUGGUCGAGGAUUACCUGUUUUUCUUCGAUGUUCUGGAUGCGUUUGAAGUGCCUGCGUGGUGACGUCGUCACGUGUGAUGACCUCGAAAAAAAGUUCACGAAAAAGACACUGAAAAAGUGUCUCGUUAUAUCAUCCAAACCACUCGGUUUGUCAAACCGAACUUUCGGCUCUUGUAACUCAACUUUGCCCGUCGAGUGAACUGACGAACGAAGUUCGGUUUUGUGAAUUCGGUUAACACGAACCGAAGAUUCGGUUUGACAAGUCGCACAGUUGGGAUGAUGAGGAAUACCGAACGUUCGGUUCCAGUGGCGUGACGUGAAUUGCGAUGUAUCGAUUGUUAUGCCAUUUAAACCUGUGGUAAAAAAUCGAUUAUUAAGGUGUUCGCUGCAAACAUCCUGUUUAACGAUCCUUUUCCAUAGGUUUAAAUGGCAUAACAAUUGAUAUAUCGCAAAGCACGCCACGCCACUGUUCGGUUCAUAUGGUCGAACCCUUUUUUCAACGGAACCCCCUAAAAACGGACUCAAGGUCUGUAAGCCAGGAUGGAAUACUAGAUAGAUGUAGAGUUUAAAACAAAUAUGCCGUUUUGACCGUGUCUUAAGGAAGGGGAUAAGUUAUCAGUGGUAGGCUAAAUUUGCUCAGGUGAACACUUCAAUAAAUCUUGAAAAAAUGCGUAUUGAUUGACGAAAAUGUGUCAAAAUAUGGCCCCUAUCAAAUACAGGGACAUAGAGCCAAAAUUUCCCCCGCCCUCUCUAAUUAGCACGCCUUAAUUAAAUCACCACAAGACAUAUCCUCAUCAAAAUUGUUCGAGGAAUGCAUGGAGGGAGUUCUAAACAGUGUUCGAAACUCACAGGCACCAACGCGCCAAAUGCGCCUAAAAAAUCGGCCAUGGCGCCCAAAAAAUGAAGGCUCUGCGCCAACGUGGCACCUAAAAAUUGCUUCCUAAAAAUCUGGAUUUUCACAGGAAGUCCCACGAAGAGAAAAAAACAAAUCUAUUUGAAUUGAAAAAACUCAGAAUUUUCAGCGCUGCAAGUAAAAGCUUGCUUUUUCUAUUCUUCACGAUUUCAUUCUUAGUGCUGUUGUCUUCCCAAAGUUAUAGAUACUUACUAGUUCUGUUACGGAAACAUCUUGCGUCUAACUUUUCAUUAAAUGCGCCGUAAUAAAUAGGCAAAAAGUCAAUUUGCCCCCUUAUAAAGCUUCAAUGGCGCCUAAAAAUCGGGCUUGAAUGCGCCACAUGGCUCCUAAAACUCAAAGGUGAGUUUCGAACACUGGUUCUAAAAGUUCGAAAUCAACUUAGGCACACAUUUGAAGUCACCUUACAAAAAUGUUAUCAAAAGUGAUAACCCAGAUCUGAGCCGGAGACUUGAACAGUCUUGUACUUGUGUUUCAAUUUUAAAAAGUUUUAAGCAUUGUUCUGGCAAAAAAAUGUCCGAAUCAUUUUGUCGUAGUCACCUUUUUUUAACGUCUUUAGACUUAAAUGUGUCUAUUUUUGAAGAAUGAUCGAGUGGUUUUUUGGCCGAAGAAUUUUGAAACAUCUGGAUUGUAACGCAAGUUUUGGUAAGUCUCAGUACCUUCGUCUCUCAUAAAGAAUUUAAAUACCAAAAGAUACACACAUAAGGGGCUUAGAGUAUAAACUGAAGAAGAGUCACUCACAAGAUUCCGUUUAGAAACACAUAUUGCAAAAGUUUCAUAACUCCCGCUCGCGUUUUACAAACUAAUUGUAAGUAUAUUUUAUCUUGUUAUUUUGAGAGGCAUCUUUCCUACCUUUCUUUUACGUCAAUCUUUUUUCGUUAAUAAAGUAAUUGAAACCAUG